GACGAACGCUGGCGGCGUGCUUAACACAUGCAAGUCGAACGGAAAGGCCCUGCUUUUGUGGGGUGCUCGAGUGGCGAACGGGUGAGUAACACGUGAGUAACCUGCCCUUGACUUUGGGAUAACUUCAGGAAACUGGGGCUAAUACCGGAUAGGAGCUCCUGCUGCAUGGUGGGGGUUGGAAGGUUUCGGCGGUUGGGGAUGGACUCGCGGCUUAUCAGCUUGUUGGUGGGGUAGUGGCUUACCAAGGCUUUGACGGGUAGCCGGCCUGAGAGGGUGACCGGCCACAUUGGGACUGAGAUACGGCCCAGACUCCUACGGGAGGCAGCAGUGGGGAAUAUUGCACGAUGGGCGGAAGCCUGAUGCAGCAACGCCGCGUGCGGGAUGACGGCCUUCGGGUUGUAAACCGCUUUCGCCUGUGACGAAGCGUGAGUGACGGUAAUGGGUAAAGAAGCACCGGCUAACUACGUG
rnacentral:rRNA from 1 species